AUUGAACGCUGGCGGCAGGCCUAACACAUGCAAGUCGAGCGAGCGGCGGACGGGUGAGUAAUGUCUGGGAAACUGCCUGAUGGAGGGGGAUAACUACUGGAAACGGUAGCUAAUACCGCAUACCAUCAGAUGUGCCCAGAUGGGAUUAGCUAGUAGGUGGGGUAACGGCUCACCUAGGCGACGAUCCCUAGCUGGUCUGAGAGGAUGACCAGCCACACGGGGACUGAGACACGGUCCAGACUCCUGCGGGAGGCAGCAGUGGGGAAUAUUGCGCAAUGGUGGCAAGCCUGAUGCAGCCAUGCCGCGUAUGUGAAGAAAGCCUUCGGGUUGUAAAGCACUAUCAGCGGGGAGGCGUUACCCGCAGAAGAAGCACCGGCUAACACCGUGCCAGCAGCCGCGGUAAUAC
rnacentral:rRNA from 1 species